rnacentral:rRNA from 1 species
GACGAACGCUGGCGGCGCGCCUAACACAUGCAAGUCGAACGGAGCUGAGAGAAGCUUGCUUUUCUUAGCUUAGUGGCGCACGGGUGAGUAACGCGUGAGUAACCUGCCCUGGAGUGGGGGACAACAGUUGGAAACGACUGCUAAUACCGCAUAAGCCCACGAUCCGGCAUCGGAUUGAGGGAAAAGGAUUUAUUCGCUUCAGGAUGGACUCGCGUCCAAUUAGCUAGUUGGUGAGGUAACGGCCCACCAAGGCGACGAUUGGUAGCCGGACUGAGAGGUUGAACGGCCACAUUGGGACUGAGACACGGACCAGACUCCGACGGGAGGCAGCAGUGGGGGAUAUUGCACAAUGGGGGAAACCCUGAUGCAGCGGCGCCGCGUGGAGGAAGAAGGUGUUCGGAUUGUAAACUCCUGUCGUUAGGGACGAUAAUGACGGUACCUAACAAGAAAGCACCGGCUAACUACGUG